rnacentral:lncRNA from 1 species
AGUCAGAUCUGUUCUUCUCUGUUACAAGCUGUUUUAUAUUAGUGAACAUUUUUUAAAUGUGCUUUUUUUGGGCUUCCUCCUGCCCUAUUUUGGUUCCUGUCUCCAUGUUUCUCAUGAAGUGUUUCAGUUCCUCAGCCACACGUUCUCUUGGCAUAGUUUUCGGGAACAUAAAUUUCAAGAUUGGCAAAGGGAUACUGUACCUUACCCAUUCCAUCUGAACAUUAUUACGAUGCCACAAAAUCACCUAUUUUCAUAAUAAAAUAUACCAUGCUUCUUUUUAUUAAUAAUUGAAAAUGAACAGAAAUAUUGUUAUUUGUUUGAGAAGGGCUCCAUUGUUUUUCUUUAGAAUGUUAAUUUCCUGCUUUGCAUUUCCUUCCUCAUAGAUAAAUGCAGAGAACAUGUCUCUUCUUGGGAAAAGUGGGCAUUCUUGAAGAAGUAAAAGAUUGACCUCAUUGUAUACAUUUAAUAAAUACUAUUUUUUUCCAAAGUAUGGUUAAUGACAGGUUGGAUAAUCUCUUGAUUUGGGAACUGAGUUCUACUACAUUUAAUACAAUCCCAAAUGACUAAGACGUGAACCAGAGAACACUGAGUCUGGAGGUUCGCAGUUUCUGGUAUCAUUUCUGUGGCUCAAAAGUGUGAGGGUCAAAGUUUCUCCGUUGUUUCUUACCAUCAUGAUUAUAACAUGGAUAACUGUGGAUCUAACCAUCACAUUCAAAUUCCAGGAAGGAAGCGGGAAAGAGAAAAGGCAAAGUCCAAGAGGCCAAGCCAGCCAAAUCUUUCCCUUUAAAGGGACUUUCCUAAAAAUCCUGCUUCUCUCUGGCCAGGAUGGUAUCACACAACCUCCUAGCUGCAAGGAAAUUGGGAAAUAUAUUUGUUUGUUUUUUUCAGCUGGGUAUAUUGCCACUUCCAGCAAAAGUAGGAAGGAAGAAAGGGAAAAUAGUUACUGAUCAAAAAAUUGGCACUCUGUACCCCUCCUUUUUAUUUAAUUUUUUGGCCUUUCCACAGCAUAUGGAAGUUCCCAGGCCACGGACUGAAUCUGAGCCACAGCUGUGAUGCUUCAGCUGUGGCAACACCGAAUCCUUAACCCACUGUGUCAGGCCAGGAAUCAAACCUGCAUGCCAGCACUCCAGGGACACUGCCGAUCCUGUUGCACCACAGAGAGAGCUCCACCACAACCUUUUCUUGGAAAAAUAUCAUCUUAUUUCAAGAUCAUGUCUGCAAGCUGAUGGUUGCUUUUUAAUUAUAAGAAUAAUAAAUGGGGCCUUCACAAAAUGGCCCCACCGCUGCUUUCAGUCCCUAGUGGACUGAGUUGUAAUUGCUGGUUGAAUUAUUCUGCUAUUACUAAAGCAAGUCGCAUUGCCUUCUCUUGGGGGAAUAGCUUUAGAAUAGCUUCUAAAAGAAAAAUAAAAGAAUUUAAAACACUACCUAUGCAAAACUGUAGUGAGUGGGUCUUAACGGUAUUUUUUAAAGUAUAUUUUCAUGGCUUACUUGUAAUAUAGUAGUUUUGGGGACACAAUAACUACCCACGCAUCAGAAGUUGCCCUUAUGACCAUUUCAGUGCAUAAGGUAUGGUGGUAGGAGAAUUGGCUUUGAAAUGAGACACACCUGGACUUGCAAUGUAGGUAAUAUUAAAAGCCUCCAAAGUGGUCUGCCUGCGUUUGCCCUUGCUAUUUAUAGACCAUUCUCAGCCAGCUGCAGAGAAGACCCUAAAUGAUGUCAGAUAAAGGUACCCUGCUCAAAACCCCCAGUGGCUCCUCAUCCAAAGAAGCCAAAAUCCUUACAAUGGCCUCCAAGGUCCUCUCCUUCUCUGCACACACUGACCCAACCCCCGAGUCUUUCUGACCUCUUUCCUGUCUUUUCUUCCUCUUCCCUCUGUUCCAGCCUAGCCUCCUUGCUGUUGCUCAAAGCCCACUCCCCCUCAGAGCUCUGCACUGCCUCUUCACUGCCUGUAGCACUUUCCCCUCUGAUACCCACAGGGCCCACCCCUCACCCUUUCAGGGCAUUUUUGAAGGUCACCUUUUUUAACGACUUCCUUUAAUCUGCAGAACAAGCUUCCUUUCAUCUUCUUUAAUUUUCUAUAGUACUUGCAUCUAUCACCACUAUCUUCUUAUUGCAUUUCAUUUCAUUUCAGUCGUAGAAGAGGAUUAAAAUCUUUACUCCUAGUCUAGUAUCUUAUUUUAAUUAUUUUUCUAAUUAAUACAGUAAAAAAAAAUUCAAACAGUUUAGGAGUUCCCGUCGUGGCGCAGCAGAAACUAAUCCGACUAGGAACCAUGAGGUUUUGGGUUUGAUCCCUGGCCUCGCUCAGUGAGUUAAGGAUCCAGCGUUGCCAUGAGCUGUGGAGUAGGUCACAGACGCAGCUCGAAUCCGGAGUUGCUGUGGCUCUGGCGUAGGCUGGCAGCUAUAGCUCCAAUUGGACCCCUAGCCUGGGAAUCUCCAUAUGCUGCAAGUGUGGCCCUGAAAAGACAAA